CGGGUGAGUAAUGCUUGGGAAUAUGCCUUGAGGUGGGGGACAACAGUUGGAAACGACUGCUAAUACCGCAUAAUGUCUACGGACCAAAGAGGGGGACCUUCGGGCCUCUUGCCUUUAGAUUAGCCCAAGUGAGAUUAGCUAGAUGGUGGGGUAAUGGCCUACCAUGGCGACGAUCUCUAGCUGGUUUGAGAGGAUGAUCAGCCACACUGGGACUGAGACACGGCCCAG
rnacentral:rRNA from 1 species